AUAAGAUAGACCUCCGGGUCCUUCAUCCUUCAAACCCGUGGAAGUGAGAUGUGCUUUGGCGCCUCUGGGCGUCGAAUCUAUGCUGAUUAGCCUGUGUCUGAAGAAAAACAAAAUUUA
rnacentral:misc_RNA from 1 species